AGUGAACGCUGGCGGCAGGCUUAAUACAUGCAAGUCGAACGGCAGCACAGCAGAGCUUGCUCUGUGGGUGGCGAGUGGCGGACGGGUGAGGAAUACAUGGGAAUCUGCCCAGUCGUGGGGGAUAACGUAGGGAAACUUACGCUAAUACCGCAUGCGCCCUUCGGGGGAAAGCCGGGGACCUUCGGGCCUGGCGCGAUUGGAUGAGCCCAUGUCGGAUUAGCUAGUUGGCGGGGUAAAGGCCCACCAAGGCGACGAUCCGUAGCUGGUCUGAGAGGAUGAUCAGCCACACUGGAACUGAGACACGGUCCAGACUCCUACGGGAGGCAGCAGUAGGGAAUAUUGGACAAUGGGCGCAAGCCUGAUCCAGCCAUGCCGCGUGAGUGAAGAAGGCCUUCGGGUUGUAAAGCUCUUUUGUCCGGAAAGAAAAGCAUCCAGUUAAUACCUGGGUGUCCUGACGGUACCGGAAGAAUAAGCACCGGCUAACUUCGUGCCAGCAGCCGCAGUAAAAC
rnacentral:rRNA from 1 species